rnacentral:rRNA from 1 species
UGAGUACGAGAUGCUACGGCGUCGAAGCAGUCUAGGUCAUACUUCCAAGAAAAGCUUGCACUGUCAUAAACAAAGAAUGCCUGUACCAUAACCGACACAGGUGGGUAGGUAGAGUAUACUAAGGGGCGCGAGAUAACUCUCUCUAAGGAACUCGGCAAAAUGACUCCGUAACUUCGGGAGAAGGAGUGCCUUAUUUUUAAGGUUGCAAUAACAAGAUCCAAGCAACUGUUUACCAAAAACACAGGUCUCCGCUAAGUCGUAAGACGAUGUAUGGGGGCUGACGCCUGCCCAGUGCCAGAAGGUUAAAGAAGUUGGUUAGCAUUUGCGAAGCUGAUAACUGAAGCCCUGGUGAACGGCGGCCGUAACUAUAACGGUCCUAAGGUAGCGAAAUUCCUUGUCGGGUAAGUUCCGACCCGCACGAAAGGCGUAAUGAUUUGGAUACUGUCUCGGAGAGGGGCUCGGUAAAAUAGACUUGUCUGUGAAGAUGCGGACUACCUGCACCUGGACAGAAAGACCCUAUGAAGCUUUACUGUAACUUGAGAUUGAAAUUGGACUUUAUUUGCGCAGUAUAGGUGGGAGGCGUUGAGAAUAAUCUUGCGGGAUUAUCGGAGCCAUCAGUGAGAUACCACUCUUGUAAUGUUAGAUUUCUAACUUUGUAUCAUUAUCUGGUCAAAGAACAGUUUCAGGCGGGCAGUUUGACUGGGGCGGUCGCCUCCCAAAGGGUAACGGAGGCGCACAAAGGUUUCCUCUGAACGGGUAGAAAUCGUAUCUAGAGUGUAAAGGCAUAAGGAAGCUUGACUGUGAGACCUACAAGUCGAGCAGGGACGAAAGUCGGUCUUAGUGAUCUGACGGUGCUGAGUGGAAAGGCCGUCACUCAACGGAUAAAAGUUACUCUAGGAUAACAGGCUAUCUCCCCCAAGAGUUCACAUCGACGGGGAGGUUUGGCACCUCGAUGUCGGCUCAUCGCAUCCUGGGGCGGUAGUACGUCCCAAGGGUUGGGCUGUUCGCCCAUGAAAGCGGUACGCGAGCUGGGUUCAGAACGUCGUGAGACAGUUCGGUCCAUAUCCGGUGUAGGCGUUAGAAUAUUGAAAGGAGCCUUCUCUAGUACGAGAGGACCGAGAAGGACAUACCUCUGGUGUGCCAGUUAUCGUGCCAACGGUAAACGCUGGGUAGCUAUGUAUGGAGUGGAUAACCGCUGAAAGCAUCUAAGUGGGAAGCCCACCUUAAGAUAAGUAUUCUCA